UACAGAGGGUGCGAGCGUUAAUCGGAAUUACUGGGCGUAAAGCGCGCGUAGGCGGAUCGCUAAGUCAGGGGUGAAAUCCCAGGGCUCAACCCUGGAACUGCCUUUGAUACUGACGAUCUGGAGAUCGGGAGAGGUUGGUGGAAUUCCGAGUGUAGAGGUGAAAUUCGUAGAUAUUCGGAGGAACACCAGAAGCGAAGGCGGCCAACUGGCACGAUACUGACGCUGAGGCGCGAAAGCGUGGGGAGCAAACAGG
rnacentral:rRNA from 1 species